AGGUGGAGCAAAUCCCUAAAAGCCAUCCCAGUUCGGAUCGCAGGCUGCAACCCGCCUGCGUGAAGUUGGAAUCGCUAGUAAUCGCGGAUCAGCAUGCCGCGGUGAAUACGUUCCCGGGCCUUGUACACACCGCCCGUCACACCAUGAGAGUCGGGAACACCCGAAGUCCGUAGCCUAACUGCAAAGGGGGCGCGGCCGAAGGUGGGUUCGAUAAUUGGGGUGAAGUCGUAACAAGGUAUC
rnacentral:rRNA from 1 species